UACGUAGGGUGCGAGCGUUAAUCGGAAUUACUGGGCGUAAAGCGUGCGCAGGCGGUUUUGUAAGUCAGAUGUGAAAUCCCCGGGCUCAACCUGGGAACUGCGUUUGAAACUACAAGGCUAGAGCGUAGCAGAGGGGGGUGGAAUUCCACGUGUAGCAGUGAAAUGCGUAGAGAUGUGGAGGAACACCGAUGGCGAAGGCAGCCCCCUGGGUUAACACUGACGCUCAGGCACGAAAGCGUGGGGAGCAAACAGG
rnacentral:rRNA from 1 species